CCUUAGUGAUGAGGAUUUUUAGGCUGCUUAAUUUUAAAAUGGCUUAUGAUGAGGAUUUUUAGGCUGGUUAGUUUUAAAACUACAGAUGAGAUUCAGGCUCCAAGGAGUGGAAUUUGUUUGCCUCUUUGUUGGGAAACAUUUACAUUUCUAAGGGAAACCUCUAUCUGUGAAGAUGCCUCCCUCUCUGUGCCAGGAAGAGGGGGGGAUGGUCUUAUCUCUAGAGGCUCUUGGUCAAUGCCAGAGGCAAGAACUUAAGUUGGUUACUGUCUGGCAACCUCAUGUGACUGACCCUCCCCCCCACAAAUCCUCCUUUGUCUUUAGCUGAGGAUAAAAUUCAAGCGGUGACUUCUGCCAUUUACUCAAUCCGGUUUGAUUCUUAUCUACCAUUUUAACUUUUUUACAUAUUCUUUGUCUUGUAAAGAGAUGACUCACAUACCUAUGCCUUAAAUUUAGUCCUAACCCUCAAGUCGGGGCAGCAGCAGGAGCUCUGACUGCCCGUGGGUCCUGUCCCCACGCACCAGCUCUGCCUGCCCAUGGGUCCUGUCCCCAUGCCAGCGGGGGCAGCAGCAGCAGCUCUGCCUGCCCAUGGGCUCUGUCCCCGUACCAGCGGGGGCAGCAGAAGCUCUGACUGCCCAUGGGUCCUGUCCCCAUGCUAUUCCACACUAUUCUCUAAAUAAAAGAGCACUACUGCCAGAUCUUGAGAGUCUAAGAAAUCUUUCUUUCGACUCCUCGGCUCACCGACCCCGCAUCACUUAGCAUGGUGCUUCUUUCUUGUUUCUCAGUCUCCCUUAGAGUCUUAGCUCCUGCAAAUUUCUCAAGAGCACCUUGAAAUUCAGAGAUGCCAAUUUCUAGUCCUUUAAGGCAUCAUACUGUUUACUUCUCUGUGAAGGUAUGUGCCAUCCUUUCUGCAUGGCAUGCUUUCUUCUUAUCCUUCCCAUCUCUGCACAACUUAUUUUCUUAUCAGGUGGAGUAUAUUCUACUCCUACUCAUCAUUAAAGAUUCAACUCUGGAGCAAACCUUUUCAAUAGUUUUCCUAACACUCCUGAAAUCUCCCUCUCUGUCUCAAUUCCAUCCGCUGGUUUCCAUUGCAUUCAGUGUUCACCUUUAACUGUACAUUACCUUAGUGUGGUGUAAUUUCGUCUUAACUGUGACACGCUUGAGGGAAAGUACUUUGUAUCCCCAGCACCUGGAAUAGUACCUGGCACAAACAUGGCAUUCAGAAAGACCUGUGAAAUGAACGACCAUGUUCAAUGCUCCCACGGUACUUUAUACUUCUUCUCACUGCCUUGUAGUUCUUUCAUUUACAAAUCUUUCUCUACUGGAUUAUGAAACAUCCCCAACAGUUACACAAUUCUAGACACAAACUAAGUACUGUAGAAAUGUUAACUGAUGUCUAAUUUGCAAGUUUUUAUGUAUUUCAAAAUACUAUUCAAGGUUAGGAUCUAUUUCAGAGAUUAAUAUAAAACAGGAUAUAUGACUUGUUACUAUUUUAGUGGUGACCAUAAGAUGUGAAUGAGAAGAACUUGAUACUAAUUUUAUAUGGACUUACUUCCUCUUCCACAUUUAAUUUUCUUGGCUUUUCAAGAUUGUUCCUAACAAAUAUAAGUUUUAUCAAUGUCUUCUUAAGGGAAAUGGAAGAAAUAAGAGGGAAGAAGAACAGAAGAUGGAAAGCGACUUGUGACUUGUGAACCUGUGAACAGAGGAAGGAAAAGGAAAGAAUGAAAGAAGGAAAGGAAGCGGAAGGUUAGAAAAGGAUAGGCAGGUACAGAGGCAGGAGUAGUGCCUGAAAGCUGGGGUGACCGGGUCUUGAAUUGCUCUUCAAAGAAAUAGGAGAUCUUCAUCAAGAGGUGGAAGGAAACGGGGUGACUGUUAAUGAAAUCAGGGUUUCUUUUGGGGGUGAUGAAAAUGUUCUGAAACUGAUUGUGCUGACAGUUGUACCUCGCUGCGAAUAUACUAAAAACC
rnacentral:lncRNA from 1 species